rnacentral:rRNA from 1 species
AAAGAAGCUUGCUUCUUUGCCGGCGAGCGGCGGACGGGUGAGUAAUGUCUGGGGAUCUGCCCGAUGGAGGGGGAUAACUACUGGAAACGGUAGCUAAUACCGCAUAACGUCGCAAGACCAAAGUGGGGGACCUUCGGGCCUCACACCAUCGGAUGAACCCAGAUGGGAUUAGCUAGUAGGUGGGGUAAUGGCUCACCUAGGCGACGAUCCCUAGCUGGUCUGAGAGGAUGACCAGCCACACUGGAACUGAGACACGGUCCAGACUCCUACGGGAGGCAGCAGUGGGGAAUAUUGCACAAUGGGGGAAACCCUGAUGCAGCCAUGCCGCGUGUGUGAAGAAGGCCUUCGGGUUGUAAAGCACUUUCAGCGGGGAAGAAGGCGUUAGCGUUAACAGCGCUAUCGAUUGACGUUACCUGCAGAAGAAGCACCGGCUAACUCCGUGCCAGCAGCCGCGGUAAUACGGAGGGUGCAAGCGUUAAUCGGAAUUACUGGGCGUAAAGCGUACGCAGGCGGUCUGUUAAGUCAGAUGUGAAAUCCCCGGGCUUAACCUGGGAACUGCAUUUGAAACUGGCAGGCUAGAGUCUCGUAGAGGGGGGUAGAAUUCCAGGUGUAGCGGUGAAAUGCGUAGAGAUCUGGAGGAAUACCGGUGGCGAAGGCGGCCCCCUGGACGAAGACUGACGCUCAGGUACGAAAGCGUGGGGAGCAAACAGGAUUAGAUACCCUGGUAGUCCACGCUGUAAACGAUGUCGAUUUGAAGGUUGUGGCCUUGAGCUGUGGCUUUCGGAGCUAACGCGUUAAAUCGACCGCCUGGGGAGUACGGCCGCAAGGUUAAAACUCAAAUGAAUUGACGGGGGCCCGCACAAGCGGUGGAGCAUGUGGUUUAAUUCGAUGCAACGCGAAGAACCUUACCUACUCUUGACAUCCAGAGAACUUGGCAGAGAUGCCUUGGUGCCUUCGGGAGCUCUGAGACAGGUGCUGCAUGGCUGUCGUCAGCUCGUGUUGUGAAAUGUUGGGUUAAGUCCCGCAACGAGCGCAACCCUUAUCCUUUGUUGCCAGCGAUUUGGUCGGGAACUCAAAGGAGACUGCCGGUGAUAAACCGGAGGA